AUUGAACGCUGGCGGCGUGCUUAACACAUGCAAGUCGAGCGGUAACAGGCGUAGCAAUACGUGCUGACGAGCGGCGAACGGGUGAGUAAUGCUUCGGAAUCUUCCUUGUAGUGGGGAAUAACCUGGGGAAACCCAGGCUAAGGCCGCAUGCGAACCAGGGUUGAAAGCGGGGGAUCGCAAGACCUCGCGCCAUAAGAUGAGCCGAAGUCGGAGUAGAUAGUUGGUGGGGUAAAGGCAUACCAAGGCGACGAUCCGGAGCUGGUCUGAGAGGACAACCAGCAAAGCGGGGACGAAGACACGGCCCAGACUCCUACGGGAGGCAGCAGUGGGGAAUAUUGGAAAAUGGGGGCAACCCUGAUCCAGCGACGCCGCGUGUGUGAAGAAGGCCUGCGGGUUGUAAAGCACUUUUAGUGGGGACAAAAAGCCGAGGGCUAAUACCUUUCGGUCUUGAUUUAACCCAAAGAAAAAGCACCGGCUAACUCUGUGCCAGCCGCCGCAGUAACAC
rnacentral:rRNA from 1 species